rnacentral:rRNA from 1 species
CUGUGGAAAGUAAAGUCGUAACAAGGUCUCCGUAGGUGAACCUGCGGAGGGAUCAUUAC